GACGAACGCUGGCGGCGUGCCUAACACAUGCAAGUCGAACGGAAAGACCCUGCUUUUGUGGGGUUCUCGUGUGGCGAACGGGUGAGUAAAACGUGAGUAACCUGCCCUUGACAGUGGGAGAACUUCAGGAAACUGGGGCUAAUACCGGAUAUGAGCUCCUGCAGCAUGGUGGUGGUUGGUAAGAUUCGGCGGUUGGGGAUGGACUCGCGGCUUAUCCGCUUGUUGGGGGGGUAGGGGCUUACCAAGGCUUCGACGGGUAGCCGGCCUGAGAGGGUGACCGGCCACAUUGGGACUGAGAUACGGCCCAGACUCCUACGGGAGGCAGCAGGGGGGAAUAUUGCACAAUGGGCGGACGCCUGAUGCAGAGACGCCGCGUGCGGGAUGACGGCCUUCGGGUUGUAAACCGAUUUCGCCUGUGACGAAGCGUGAGUGACGGUAAUGGGUAAAGAAGCACCGGCUAACUACGUG
rnacentral:rRNA from 1 species